CGGGGCCUGGGCGCCCGCGGGAAACCCGGGCCCCUUGCAUCCGCUGGGUGUAGCCGUGGGGAUGGCAGGUUCGGGGAGGCUGGUCCUACGGCCCUGGAUUCGGGAGCUGAUUCUGGGGUCAGAGACACUCUCCAGUCCACGAGCCGGGCAGCUGCUCGAGGUGAGCCCCCAUUCAGGGCCCGGAGACCGAGGCGGAGGCCCGGGGUGGUGGGAUUGACGCCGCUCGCCGCCGUCAGGUACUACAGGAGGCCGAGGCCGCGGUCGCGGGCCCAUCCCACGCCCCUGAUACGUCCGACGUCGGGGCCACGCUGCUUGUGUCUGACGGGACCCACAGUGUCCGAUGCCUGGUGACGCGGGAGGCCCUGGACACCUCGGACUGGGAGGAGAAGGAGUUCGGCUUCCGCGGGACAGAGGGCCGGCUGCUGCUGCUGCAGGACUGCGGGGUUCAUGUCCAGGUCGCUGAGGGCGGCGCGCCCGCAGAGUUCUAUCUCCAGGUGGACCGCUUCAGCCUGCUGCCCACGGAGCAGCCCCGGCUACGGGUGCCUGGUUGGUAAGUGAUGCCUCCGCCCUCCAGCGGCUCUCCCCACCCCAGCCUGGCCGGCGCUGGCAGACGCCUAUGGGGUAGGAGGGCUUGGGCCCCCAUUAACUACCCUUCUCUUUUUCUUAGCAACCAAGACUUAGAUGUUCAGAAAAAGCUCUAUGACUGCCUUGAGUGAGUCUGGGGUUGGGCUCGGGGGCCACGUGUGGUUUGGUGAGGGGAUGGUGUAUCUAGGUAGACGGGCCUCAGCAUGGUUCCUGAGUCCUGGCCACUCUCUUCCUGUAGGGAGCACCUUUCAGAGUCCACCUCGUCCAAUGCAGGUACUGUAGGGCUUGACCAGUGAUCCUAACACCCUGUGCAGUGACCUCUCCAGCCUUAACCUUAUGCUUCCUCAAUAAGCUGUCUUCCCCCUCACCCUCCUGGUCCUCCCCUUUAAGCCUUGACUCAUCCCAUGGUCCCCUGUCCCCAGGCCUAUCACUGUCCCAGCUUCUGGAUGAAAUGCGGGAGGACCAGGAGCAUCAGGGGGCACUCGUGUGCCUGGCUGAAAGCUGCCUGACACUGGAGGGCCCUUGCACGGCACCCCCCGUCACCCACUGGGCUGCCUCACGAUGCAAGGCCACGGGAGAAGCUGUGUACACUGUCCCCAGCUCAAUGCUGUGCAUCUCUGAGAAUGACCAGCUAAUUCUGAGCUCUCUAGGCCCCUGUCAGAGGACACAGGGUAAGGGGGACUGGAGAGGUUGGGGGGAUACCUGGGGCCCAGGUCCACAGUGCUGAUAAGACUUCCUGAACCCCCCAGGCCCUGAGCUGCCCCCACCAGACCCGGCUCUGCAGGACCUAUCUCUGACCCUCAUAGCCUCUCCUCCUUCCUCACCCAGUUCCUCAGGAACCCCGGCCUUACCCGGCCACAUGUCAUCCGAGGAAAGUGGUACCAGCAUCAGCCUUCUGCCUGCCCUGUCCUUGGCUGCUCCAGACCCAGGGCAGAGGAGCAGCUCCCAGCCCUCACCAGCCAUCUGCUCAGCGCCUGCCACCCUGACCCCCAGGUCCCCACACGCCAGCCGUACCCCCAGCUCCCCACUCCAGAGCUGCACUCCCAGUCUCUCACCCCGUAGCCAUGUCCCCAGUCCACACCAGGCUCUUGUGACCAGGCCCCAGAAACCUAGCCUGGAGUUCAAGGAGUUUGUAGGGUUGCCCUGCAAGAAUCGGCCGCCUUUUCCCAGGACCGGAGCUACCAAGGGAGCCCAGGAGCCCUGCUCUGUCUGGGAACCCCCAAAGAGGCAUCGUGAUGGUUCUGCCUUCCAGUAUGAGUAUGAGCCACCCUGCACGUCCCUCUGUGCUCGGGUCCAAGCUGCCAGGUGAGUGCCUGGGUCUGCCCCCACUCUUGGUCACUAGUCCCAGGCUCCAUUGACCUGCAGCGGUGGUUUCUUUCCAGGCUUCCUCCCCAGCUCAUGGCCUGGGCCUUGCACUUUCUGAUGGAUGCACAGCCAGGGUCUGAGCCAAAUCCGAUGUGAGACGUCACACAGGACAGAUACCGCUCCACACUCUGCUUCCUUU
rnacentral:sRNA from 1 species